UACAGAGGUCUCGAGCGUUAGGCGGAAUCACUGGGCUUAAAGCGUGUGUAGGCGGAUCGUUAAGUGCCUUGUGAAAUCCCACGGCUCAACCGUGGAACUGCUUGGCAUACUGGCGGUCUUGAGCAACCUAGGGGCGAGCGGAACAAAUGGUGGGGCGGUGAAAUGCGUAGAUAUCAGUUGGAACGCCAAUGGUGAAAACAGCUCGCUGGGGGUUUGCUGACGCUGAGACACGAAAGCCAGGGGAGCAAACGGG
rnacentral:rRNA from 1 species